GACGAACGCUGGCGGCGUGCUUAACACAUGCAAGUCGAACGAUGAAGCUGGAGCUUGCUCUGGUGGAUUAGUGGCGAACGGGUGAGUAACACGUGAGUAACCUGCCCUGGACUCUGGGAUAACCCCGAGAAAUCGGAGCUAAUACCGGAUAGGACCUCGGAUCGCAUGAUCUGGGGUGGAAAGCUUUUCGGUCUGGGAUGGACUCGCGGCCUAUCAGCUUGUUGGUGAGGUAAUGGCUCACCAAGGCGUCGACGGGUAGCCGGCCUGAGAGGGUGACCGGCCACACUGGGACUGAGACACGGCCCAGACUCCUACGGGAGGCAGCAGUGGGGAAUAUUGCACAAUGGGCGCAAGCCUGAUGCAGCAACGCCGCGUGCGGGAUGACGGCCUUCGGGUUGUAAACCGCUUUUAGUAAGGAAGAAGCCGCAAGGUGACGGUACUUGCAGAAAAAGGACCGGCUAACUACGUGCCAGCCGCCGCAGUAAGAC
rnacentral:rRNA from 1 species